GAUGAACGCUGGCGGCGUGCCUAAUACAUGCAAGUCGAGCGGUAAGGCUUCUUCGGAAGUACACGAGCGGCGGACGGCUGAGUAAUGCAUAGGAACGUACCCCAAACUGAGGGAUAAGCCACCGAAAGGUGGUCUAAUACCGCAUGUGCUCUUCGGAGUAAAGCUACGGCGGUUUGGGAGCGGCCUCUGUUCGAUUAGCUUGUUGGUGAGGUAAUGGCUCACCAAGGCGACGAUCGAUAGCGGGUCUGAGAGGAUGAUCCGCCAGACUGGAACUGAGACACGGUCCAGACUCCUACGGGAGGCAGCAGUAGGGAAUUUUCCACAAUGGGGGCAACCCUGAUGGAGCAACGCCGCGUGCAGGAUGAAGGCCUUCGGGUUGUAAACUGCUUUUCUCUGUGAUGAUUAUGACAGUAGCAGAGGAAUAAGGAUCGGCUAACUCCGUGCCAGCAGCCGCGGUAA
rnacentral:rRNA from 1 species